AUGGCUCGUUAAUUGUAAAAUGUAAAAAGAGGGUUAACGAAUAGUGAGGACAUCCCUAUGGACCCCUAUAGAUACCAAUAGACUGAUAAAAAGGAAAGUUAUUGUUCCAACUGAUCGUAUAUGAAAUUAUGAUAUGUGUUAUGUUAUUGACUCUAUAUGUUAUUUUUGGAAAUCCUGUUACAGUAAGUAUGUGGUCAAUGAUUUUAUUUAUGACAAACGGAUUUGCUUAAAUUAA
rnacentral:lncRNA from 1 species